ACAAGACAGACAUCUGAUUUUAGUAAGACAGAAAUCACAAUGUACACCAAGACAACAGGACAACCUGAAAGUUACAGCCAUGGCACAGGGACCAAGCAAAAGGAACAGCCCUAGAUCCCUUGAAAACACUGAGACGCACCCCUCUACCCUUAGGCAACCUGGAUCUUCCUUGCAGACACACUCCCCACCCUGGCAAGGUGCCACCUUCUGCAGGAGUCGUUGGAGUUCCUCACAAUGGGGUGUGGUCUCAUGCUUUCUGAGACAGCCAUGGUGAUAUAAUCUCAAGUCACUGGAACCAACCUCAUAAAAAGGUAUUAAUCACUAGCUAGCUUGCAUCACAAUGAACUAGUGUUGUGUAAGGAAGGAAUGUGAGGAACAGUUUGAUUUCAGAUAAAGGUAAGGAGAGGGGCAGGACUUCCAUGCCAGGCGGAGCACAAGAUUACAGAGCUAUUUUAGUCACAAAUUCCAUAAAACCUGUGAUUCAGACUCACUCAAACUAUUCACUGCCCCCAAAGAAAGGAAUGUUUAGUUUCUACUGACCUAUUUAUAGCCGGAAGAAAUGGUUGUUAAUUUUUUGUUGUUUUUUAACUCCCUCUCACCCACAUUUACCACCAAGGUCAGAACGCCAAUAUCAUCAAGUAUUCCCCCAUAAGGUAGCUUUCUCAUCCCAGGAGUUACUACUUUUUAAAUAGUGUGUUAUUCCACACACCCAGUAGCUGAAAGGUUGCAUUGAGGGAUAAAAUUCAGAUUGAAGGGCAGGAGGAAGGUUUGGCUCAUACACUCAAUGCUUAGUUACUAUGGUGAUUGGCACUGUAUCAAUACUAUAUGUAGAUCUUGAUUCUGAUCACACUUAUAGGCCAGGUCUACAUUAGAAAAGAUUUGCUGAUAUAGCUAUAUUGGUAUAGUUGUACUGGCAAACUUUCCUUGUGUAACUACAAUACACAGUUUAUACCAGAAAAAAAAUGCUUUUACUGGUAUAGUUUAUAUUGAUUCCCCAAGUGAAAUAAGCCAUACCAGCAAAAACACUUUUAUGCCGUUAAAACUGCAGUUACACUAUGGCUUUAGCUCGAAUAGAAAUCUCAUAAAUAAUCAUCCUCUUAACUGA